GAGCGAGCGGAGCUGCUCUCGGCUCGGCUCAGCCCGGCUCGGCACCGCUGUCGGCUUUUGCUUUUGCUUUGCGUGCCCAGUUGCCGCCAGUUGGCGUCGCGAGUAGGACGCGUGUUCAUGACGAUCCGUUGGCCGAGGGAGCGUGUGUGAAACCCAGGGGCAGGGGCAAGGGUGUAAGAGGACUUUUCGAGUUGAUUUACCCUCUUAGCGUCGUAGCAGUCUCUCGUAGAACUAGUGCCAUGCAUCAGUAGACGGACCUCUUGUAGUCCUGGUUUUCGUUUGCCGAUUCAGCUUCCUUUUUUCCACAUUGUUGGCUGGAGCCCCGCUCCGUUCACGGCCGUGUAUAUGUGUUGUUUAUGUGCUUGCCUGGUCUCGCAGAAGUUGCGCUGGCUGUGUUGUGUGUUGACGGUGGCCAUUGUGCUGUGUCUGGCGGCCCUGUCACUGUUCGCCGCGUGCAGCCUGGGGCUGCUCAAGCCCCAAACUAAGUGGUGCUGCGCGUUCACCACCAAGGAUGUAACUUGUCUCGGCGACCCGCUGUACACCUGGCAGGGCGACUCGGACUCGGACUCCGCAGUCGCGCGGCUGGGGCACUUCUAGAACGCUGAAGCACGCUGAAGCAGGACAGGGCAGUGGUGCAGCCGUCAUGGGCACUGGUGACGCCUGGUGACGCAGUGACCGCGACGUCUUGACCCUCACCCUCACCACCGUGCCAUGCCUGGCUUGGUCAUCUUCCGGCGGCGAUGGAGCGUCGGCAGCGACGACCUGGUGGUCCCCGCGGCCAUCCUGUGCGUCGUGCACCUGGCAUGGCUGGGGGCGCUGGUAGCCUUGUUGACCACGACAGACAUGGACCACGAGUCGGUGUGGUGCUCGCGACAGCUGUGGCGACACUUGGUGGGCUACCUCUGCAUCCUGGGCGUGACGGUGGUGCUGGAGGCCAUGAUGGCCUUCACGGCCAUGCGCGGCGGCAUCCUGGAGGUGGAACGCCGGUCCGGCAUCAAAUACCAGCUCUACUGCAGGCUCGGUGUUUUGGUAUUUGAGCUGGUUUGGCUGAUUCUGGGCUCCGUGUGGCUCGGCUUUCAUUACUACGACUGCCCAGUGGGCCUCCCUAAAAAUGUCAUGAUGGGCAUGGUGAUGAGCAACUGGAUUGUGUUCCUGAUCGUGGUGCUGACUGUCUGGUGCUCCUACGACGCGGCGGGCCGCUCGUGGGUCAAGAUGAAGAAGUACCAGCGCUCGAUGCGCGAGGCGGAAAGUCGCUUCCAGUACAAGAGGUCGGGCUCCAGGAACCGCAACUGGCGGCAAAGAAAAGUCAUGAGAGCGUAUCAAGAGAGCUGGAAUUCUCGAUGCAGACUUUUGUUUUGCUGCAUUCAGGGCAGCGAUAGAAACAGAAAUUCAUUUACAGAAAUUGCAAGGCUUCUUUCUGAUUUUUUUCGGGACCUUGAUGUUGUUCCUUCUGAUGUAGUAGCUGGCCUGGUGCUCUUAAGAAAGUUUCAAAAAAUUGAGCGCGAGUCCAUUGUGUCUCAGCGAAAGAAUGAAACAUACGAGUUUCUUUCUGGAGUAGCAGUAACAUCACAAACGAGGUUUUUUGCUUUGCAUGAUCCUCAACAUUAUCAGCAUUUCCAAGAUGUUAUCCGUUAUAUGAAUUUUGCUCUUGGUGCCUAUGGGUGGCCAAUGUAUUUAAUGACACAUUCUGGUUGCGGAUUGUGUCAUAUUUGUUCAAAGUUAAGCUGUUGUCUUUGCAUUCCGUGUAUGAGGCAAAAAGAUACUGCUAUAAUAGUAGAAGACAACUGCUGUCGAUGUAACUACGCUGCAUUGCAAAGAAUGGUUGAAGAUGGAGAUGUAGAUGUUGUGUAUGCAACAUACCAUGUUGAUGUCGGAGAGACCCCAUUCUUUGUUUCUGUAGACUAUGGGCGCCAGAAAGUUGUUAUAAGUAUUCGCGGCACUUUAUCCAUGAAGGAUGUCAUAACUGAUCUUAAUGCCGAGUCAGAGACUCUCCCCCUGGAUCCACCAAGAGAGGACUGGAGUGGUCACAAGGGUAUGGUGCAUGCAGCUGUUUACAUCCGAGAAAAAUUAGAAAGUGAAAAUGUGCUUGUCCGCGCUUUCAAUCACUGUGCAGAGAGAGGCACUCAAGACUUCGGUCUUGUGCUGGUUGGACAUUCCUUGGGAGCAGGAGCUGCUGCAAUACUUGCAAUUAUGAUGAGGCAGCAAUAUCCCGAUCUCCAAUGUUUUGCCUAUUCCCCACCUGGAGGUUUGCUUAGCCUGCCAGCAGUGGAGUAUUCCAAACAAUUUAUUACAUCUGUUGUGGUUGGUAAAGACGUUGUGCCCAGAAUAGGAUUACAUCAGAUGGAAUCUCUUCGUGCUGAUCUCAUAAAUGCUAUUAAGCGCAGCAAAGACCCAAAGUGGAAAACCAUAAUGUGCAAUGUGUGUUGUUGCGGUUGUGCACCCAUGCCUACAUCAGCAGUUGAACUGAGUGCUGAUGACUCAAAUAUUGUUGAGUACCAGAAGGAAAAAGACAUAGCAAGAGAAGUGGCUUACCAUCCAAACGAUUCCAGCAUAGCUCUCACUGUUCACCAACCUCUAUAUCCACCAGGCCGCAUCAUUCAUGUAGUGAGACAUCACCCAAAGAAAGGAGAGAAUAAGUAUGAGAAAAAAAAGUGGAGGCAAGUCCUAGGCAAACGUGAGCCUGUAUACCAAGCUUUGUGGGCCAACAAUACAGAUUUUGAUGAAGUAUUAAUAAGUCCCGUCAUGAUUCAAGACCACAUGCCUGAUACCGUAUUAAAUGCCCUUAAAAAGGUUAUGACUUCUCAUGAGAAGCAAAUGAAAGCUACAAAUCCCCACCACCGCCAAAAUAGUGUUCAAAGCAACAAAAGUUCUUAUGUGCCACAUUGCAAUGAUACCAGGUACUUGAAGUCUACCUUACGUGUAAUUCGAAUGAAAAUCCCCUCUCAACCCCUGACGACCUUACCACCGACUCAUCAAUUGGUGCAGUUGGUGACACGGCCAUAGAUCAUUUGUUAUCCGCUGGCCCAAGUGGGAACACUGCCUAGUUAUGACCCUUUCUUAGAAUUUACCUAUUUGGUUAUAACAUCUGUUGGUCCCGCCAAGCCUCAACGAACAGUUUCAACAAUUACCACAUCCCCCACUUCUGGGAUUGGAACACUUUUGGAUUCUGAACGUUGCCAUCUCCUUACUGCAGGCAGCACUAAUCUUGGUUCC
rnacentral:misc_RNA from 1 species